AUGAAUCUUGAAGGCCAUAAAUGUAUGACCACUGUUACCAUGAAUCCUGAAGGCCGUCAAUUUCAGACCAGUGUUACCAUGAAUCCUGAAGGCUGUCAAUUUCAGACCAGUGUUACCAUGAAUCCUGAAGACCGUCAAUAUCAGACCAGUGUUACCAUGAAUCCUGAAGGCCAUCAAUAUCAGACCACUGUUACCAUGAAUCCUGAAGGCCAUCAAUAUCAGACCAGUGUUACCAUGAAUCCUGUAGGCCGUCAAUUUCAGACCAGUGUUACCAUGAAUCCUGAAGGCGUCAAUUUCAGACCAGUGUUUCUCAUGUGGCUGUUUCUCUCCCCUGGUUUCUCAUGUGGCUGUUUCUCUCCCCUGGUUUAUCAUGUGGUUGUUUCUCUCCCCUGGUUUAUCAUGUGGCUGUUUCUCAUGUGGCUGUUUCUCUCCCCUGGUUUAUCAUGUGGCUGUUUCUCAUGUGGCUGUUUCUCAUGUGGCUGUUUCUCUCCCCUGGUGUAUCAUGUGGCUAUUUCUCUCCCCUGGUUUAUCAUGUGGCUGUUUCUCAUGUGGCUGUUUCUCUCCCCUGGUUUCUCAUGUGGCUAUUUCUCAUGUGGUUGUUUCUCUCCCCUGGUUUCUCAUGUGGCUGUUUCUCAUGUGGUUGUUUCUCUCCCCUGGUUUCUCAUGUGGCUGUUUCUCUCCCCUGGUUUCUCAUGUGGCUAUUUCUCUCCCCUGGUUUCUCAUGUGGCUGUUUCUCUCCCCUGGUUUCUCAUGUGGCUGUUUCUCAUGUGGCUGUUUCUCUCCCCUGGUUUCUCAUGUGGCUAUUUUUCUCCCCUGGUUUAUCAUGUGGCUGUUUCUCUCCCCUGGUUUCUCAUGUGGCUGUUUCUCUCCCCUGGUUUCUCAUGUGGCUGUUUCUCUCCCCUGGUUUCUCAUGUGGCUGUUUCUCAUGUGGCUGUUUCUCUCCCCUGGUUUCUCAUGUGGCUGUUUCUCUCCCCUGGUUUCUCAUGUGGCUGUUUCUCAUGUGGCUGUUUCUCUCCCCUGGUUUCUCAUGUGGCUGUUUCUCAUGUGGCUGUUUCUCUCCCCUGGUUUCUCAUGUGGCUGUUUCUCUCCCCUGGUUUAUCAUGUGGCUGUUUCUCUCCCCUGGUUUCUCAUGUGUCUGUUUCUCUCCCCUGGUUUCUCAUGUGGCUGUUUCUCUCCCCUGGUUUCUCAUGUGGCUGUUUCUCUCCCCUGGUUUAUCAUGUGGCUGUUUCUCUCCCCUGGUUUCUCAUGUGUCUGUUUCUCUCCCCUGGUUUCUCAUGUGGCUGUUUUUCAUGUGGCUGUUUCCUCUGGUUUCUCAUGUGGUAGUUUUUGUUCGGCAAUGAAAGACCAAUACCCACUGAGGAGAGUGUCCUAUAGAGGAACUGACCGUCGGAGAAGUAGAUUUGGUGCACUGAUGCUCCGGGCCUGUAUGUCAGACUGUCUUCUCUCUGGCUGUGCCAUCGAUGCCCCCUCCCUCCAC
rnacentral:lncRNA from 1 species